ACUAAGUUAAAUUUUUCCUAUUUACUGGAAGGAAGAGUCUGAUGAUUUGUUACCGAUUUUUUUUUUUGCAUUUUUAAAGUUUUGGAGCUAUCACAUUAUGUUAUCAUUUAUGCUCUUUUCUACUAUGUUUUCUUCCAUACUUACUGAACCUGAGGAGCAACACUGGACCUGCAGCUCCUCUGAUGCAACCAUUGCUUACACCUACUGUGAUGACAUUAAAUUUCCUAUUUUAGUUAGACCUGAUCCCUGUAUAUCAUUGAAAGGCACUGAAGGAUUUUUGCAUAUUUUCUACAUUCCAAGUAAGUAUAUAUAUUUUUUUGUUUCUGUAGAUCAGCUAGUUAUUUAG
rnacentral:lncRNA from 1 species